UACGGAGGGUGCAAGCGUUAUCCGGAUUCACUGGGUUUAAAGGGUGCGUAGGCGGGCAUGUAAGUCCGUGGUGAAAUCUCCGAGCUUAACUCGGAAACUGCCAUGGAUACUAUGUGUCUUGAAUGUUGUGGAGGUGAGCGGAAUAUGUCAUGUAGCGGUGAAAUGCUUAGAUAUGACAUAGAACACCUAUUGCGAAGGCAGCUUACUACGCCUAUAUUGACGCUGAGGCACGAAAGCGUGGGGAUCAAACAGG
rnacentral:rRNA from 1 species